rnacentral:misc_RNA from 1 species
ACCAACCUCUCCAUUUCACUUCCAGUGAGUAGCACUGCCCCUCUAUGCCAUUCAAAUAGUGAUGAUGGAGCUAUUAAUUUGCUAUUAAUUAAUCAGCAUCAACCUAAAUUCUAAUCCGUUUCAUGGGUAAUUAAUGAUAUAUAGUUGUCAAAUGAUCCAUCAACUGGAGAAGUUGGAUUGAGGCCAUAGUUUCAAACAGGAGAAAUGCUGUUGUUAGUGAUAGCAUUGUCAGGUGGAGGAUCUUAAGAUGGGAAAUUCGUGGGCUCCAGCGUAGUUUAAUUGUGCCUUUUUUUCAAGCGGGACAAGUUUGUUUUCAUAUUUUGUUCUGUAUGCCCAACCCCUGUUCCUAGUUAAUUAAUUUAGGGUUUUGUAGAAGCAUAUCUUAUGCAAUAGAAUUUGCAUUUAAAUUGUUUCGUAUUGAUGUGGUAAUGUAAUUAUCCAUCGUUUCAUUUAAGCAUACCUUAUGAUAUCAUUUUAUUAUUGCAAUUAAAA